rnacentral:rRNA from 1 species
UACGUAGGUGGCAAGCGUUGUUCGGAAUUAUUGGGCGUAAAGGGCGCGUAGGCGGCUUGUUAAGUCGGUUGUGAAAGCCCGGGGCUCAACCCCGGAAAGUCGACCGAUACUGGCAGGCUAGAGUACGGAAGAGGUAGCCGGAAUUCCAGGUGUAGCGGUGAAAUGCGUAGAUAUCUGGAGGAACACCGGUGGCGAAGGCGGCAUCCUGGACCAACACUGACGCUGAGUGAGCGAAAGCCAGGGGAGCAAACGGG